GGGCGGGUAGCUCAGUGGCGAGAGCGUUCGCCUUACACGCGAAAGGUCGGAGGUUCAAAUCCUCCCCCGCCCA
rnacentral:tRNA from 1 species